rnacentral:rRNA from 1 species
GACGAACGCUGGUGGCGUGCCUAAUACAUGCAAGUCGAGCGGACCAAUAGAAGCUUGCUUCUGUUGGUUAGCGGCGGACGGGUGAGUAACACGUGGGCAACCUGCCUGUAAGACUGGGAUAACUUCGGGAAACCGGAGCUAAUACCGGAUAAUUCAUCCCCUCGCAUGAGGGGAUGCUGAAAGUCGGUUUACGCUGACACUUACAGAUGGGCCCGCGGCGCAUUAGCUAGUUGGUGAGGUAAUGGCUCACCAAGGCGACGAUGCGUAGCCGACCUGAGAGGGUGAUCGGCCACACUGGGACUGAGACACGGCCCAGACUCCUACGGGAGGCAGCAGUAGGGAAUCUUCCACAAUGGACGAAAGUCUGAUGGAGCAACGCCGCGUGAGCGAUGAAGGCCUUCGGGUCGUAAAGCUCUGUUGUUAGGGAAGAACAAGUAUCGGAGUAACUGCCGGUACCUUGACGGUACCUAACCAGAAAGCCACGGCUAACUACGUGCCAGCCGCCGCCGUAA